UACGUAGGGGGCAAGCGUUGUCCGGAAUCAUUGGGCGUAAAGAGCGUGUAGGCGGCCCGAUAAGUCCGCUGUGAAAGUCAAGGGCUCAACCCUUGAAAGCCGGCCGAUACUGUCGGACUAGAGUCCGGAAGAGGCGAGUGGAAUUCCCGGUGUAGCGGUGAAAUGCGCAGAUAUCGGGAGGAACACCGGUGGCGAAGGCGGUUCUCUGGGCCUUACCUGACGCUGAGGAGCGAAAGCGUGGGGAGCGAACAGG
rnacentral:rRNA from 1 species